UACGUAGGGGGCAAGCGUUGUCCGGAAUUAUUGGGCGUAAAGAGCGCGUAGGCGGUCCGAUAAGUCGGCUGUGAAGGUCAGGGGCUCAACCCUUGGAAGCCGGCCGAUACUGUCGGACUAGAGUCCGGAAGAGGCGAGUGGAAUUCCCGGUGUAGCGGUGAAAUGCGCAGAUAUCGGGAGGAACACCAAUGGCGAAGGCAGCUCGCUGGGACGGUACUGACGCUGAGGCGCGAAAGCGUGGGGAGCAAACAGG
rnacentral:rRNA from 1 species